rnacentral:rRNA from 1 species
UACGGAGGGUGCAAGCGUUAUUCGGAUUCACUGGGCUUAAAGGGUGCGUAGGCGGCCAUGUAAGUAGGGUGUGAAAUCCCCCGGCUUAACCGGGGAACUGCGCCCUAAACUGUGUGGCUUGAGUGAGAUAGGGGUGUGUGGAACUUCCGGUGGAGCGGUGAAAUGUGUUGAUAUCGGAAGGAACGCCGGUGGCGAAAGCGACACACUGGGUCUCAACUGACGCUGAGGCACGAAAGCUAGGGGAGCAAACAGG